GACGAACGCUGGCGGCGUGCCUAAUACAUGCAAGUCGAGCGAAGCGGCGGAUGGGUGAGUAACGCGUGGGUAACCUGCACAUAAGGCUGGGAUACCAGUUGGAAACAGAUGCUAAUACCGGAUACUAAAGGAUGGACCUGCGAUGCAUUAGCUAGUUGGUAAGGUAACGGCCUACCAAGGCGACGACGGGUGGCCGGCCUGAGAGGGCGACCGGCCACAUUGGGACUUGGAGACGUCCCAAACGCCUACGGGAGGCAGCAGUGGGGAAUAUUGCACAGUGGGGGAAACCCUGAUGCAGCAACGCCGCGUGCGGGAUGACGGCCUUCGGGUUGUAAACCGCUUUCAGCCAUGACGCGGUAGUGGCAGAAGAAGCACCGGCUAACUACGUGCCAGCAGCCGCGGUAAUUC
rnacentral:rRNA from 1 species